UACGUAGGGGGCAAGCGUUGUCCGGAAUCAUUGGGCGUAAAGAGCGUGUAGGCGGUCCGGUAAGUCGGCUGUGAAAGUCCAGGGCUCAACCCUGGGAUGCCGGUCGAUACUGCCGGACUAGAGUUCGGAAGAGGCGAGUGGAAUUCCCGGUGUAGCGGUGAAAAUGCGUAGAUAUCAUCUGGAACGCCAAUGGUGAAAACAGCUCGCUGGGGGUUUGCAGACGCUGAGACACGAAAGCCAGGGGAGCGGAACGGG
rnacentral:rRNA from 1 species